CCUACGGGAGGCAGCAGUGAGGAAUAUUGGUCAAUGGCCGGAAGGCUGAACCAGCCAUGCCGCGUGAAGGUCAGUGCCCUAUGGGCGUUAAACUUCUUUUGUGCGGGAGCAAUAAUGGUCACGUGUGGCCAGACGAGAGUACCGUACGAAUAAGCAUCUGCUAACUGCGUGCCAGCAGCGGCGGUAAUACGGGGGAUGCAAGCGUUAUCCGCAUUUAUGUGGUUUAAAGGGUGCGUAGGCUGUGAGGUAAGUCAGCGGUGAAAUGCCCCCGCUCAACGGGGUGAAGUUCCAUUGAUACUGACUUGCUGGAAUGCGGAUGCCGUGGGAGGAAUGUGUGGUGUAGCGGUGAAAUGCAUAGAUAUCACACAGAACACCGAUUGCGAAGGCAUCUCACGAAUCCGCGAUUGACGCUGAUGCACGAAAGCGUGGGUAUCAAACAGGAUUAGAUACCCCAGUAGUC
rnacentral:rRNA from 1 species